rnacentral:rRNA from 1 species
CCUACGGGAGGCAGCAGUGGGGAAUCUUGCACAAUGGAGGAAACUCUGAUGCAGCGAUGCCGCGUGAGUGAAGAAGGCCUUUGGGUUGUAAAGCUCUUUUGUAGGGGAAGAUAAUGACUGUACCCUAAGAAUAAGGUCCGGCUAACUUCGUGCCAGCAGCCGCGGUAAUACGAAGGGACCUAGCGUAGUUCGGAAUUACUGGGCGUAAAGCGCGCGUAGGCCGUUGAGUUAGUUAAUUGUGAAAUCCCAAAGCUUAACUUUGGAACUGCAAUUAAAACUGCUCGACUAGAGUUUGAUAGAGGAAAGCGGAAUACAUAGUGUAGAGGUGAAAUUCGUAGAUAUUAUGUAGAACACCAGUUGCGAAGGCGGCUUUCUGGAUCAACACUGACGCUGAGGCGCGAAAGUAUGGGUAGCAAAGAGGAUUAGAUGCCCUCGUAGUCCAUACCAUAAACGAUGAUUGCUAGAUGUUGGAAAUUUAUUUUCAGUAUCCGNNCUACNCAUAUACANCGCCGUGGAGUACGACGACGAAGUAAACGUACGAAGAAGUAAGUAGNGUUGNGAGUUGCGAGCGACGACGAGGGAGGAG